AAACAACUAAUGCAACUGAUAAAUAUCAGUUUUUCGCCUUACUAAUGUGUCAGUUAACAUAGCUAACGUUAGCUAAAAUAAUGGCAGCGUUAGCCACUAUUGCUAGUGUUAGCCAUGCGGAGGUAGUGGAUGGCAUUUGGAUGCCGACUAUAGCCUACUGCCCUUUUUACCAGCAGACUCCUUAUGAUGUCAUUUUUGGCCUCCACACAAAAAUGAAUUCAAGAUUGUUUUUGCUUCAACGAGACAGGUUCAUUUGUGACAUGUUCAGUUAAUAUCACUAUUACCUUAGGGAUAUUAAGCUAAGCUAAAUUUAGUUUUGGAAAGAGCAACAGGAAGCUCAUACUUCGUGUACCAGGCUGGACAAACACAAACACCAGCCAUUGUAUUCGAGAUGGCACCUUGUGUGCGUGUGCGAGCGUUGGCAUUUCUCUCCAAUAAAACGCACCCAGCCACUGGUUGCUGGGUCAAAAGCGGUGAGAUGAAAAGAUGAGACGAUCUCUGACAGCAGUGAUUUAUUUUCACUGACCUUAAGCCGCCAGACCUGUGAAAGUUGACAGAGAAUGGCCUUAAAGACACUCCCGUGGACAAAGCCUCUGGCGCCCUAUUUUAAACCCCCGCCCAUCCACCUCUGUGUGGUGUUGGUGGUGGAGCAGCCUUGGGUGGUGUCCUGGGAGUUCCACUCGCAUGGCGCGAGACCCGCAAGCACCACAAUGAAUCUUCUGGCCGCAAUUUCCAGCGGAAAGUCCGGGGCCAAAGUCACGGUGAAUGAGGGAUUUAGAAACUAAGGAGGGUGGGUGCUACGUGGUUAAGGGGCUCUCCCUCCACCCCCUACCCCACCCACCCCACUCAGCAGCAUCUGCAUGGACGCCGGGGGCCUCAUCACCGUGGAGGGUGAGGUGGUGGAGGUGAAUGUAGUUUAAGCCUACGUUGGUAUGAAUAAGGCAACAGUCCAAGAAGUUUGUGCAAAUUUCCAUAAAAUGUAAGUUAACUGGAAAAAUCCAUUUUCUUCAGGUGUCCAUGGAGAAAAAAAAUAGAGAGAGGAGAAAAUUAAGUUCAAAUAUUAUUUCACAUGACCUUCUACAGGGGAAAGCCCAGAUGUUUCUGGGUUUCUGGAGGGAUGCUGCAUUAUGGCGGCUGCAGAUCGGGGCACACGUCAAAGUGUCCCAUCUUCAAGCCGCAAAGGAUCAGACUGCGGUCCACAACCUUUUCCACUAUCGAGGAGGUCCGCUCAGAGGACGUCGUCGUUGUGCACGGGGGCGACGAAGCUCGAGGGAGAUGCAGGGACCCUCAACACCCUCGACUGAAUCAGCAUUCCAAAGAAUAUAUCAAAUGCAUGUCUGUAACUCCCUGUAAUAUUACACCCAUCAAUGAUCAGGGAGCGUUUAGUUAGCUCAGGGUGCAAUUAACACUUCCUCACUGUGGUUUGUAUUGAGAUUUAAUACAGUUCAUAAGUGGUAUUGGAUCCUUGGAUCAAUUCUCUGGGAGAACUCAGUUUUUCUCCUUAUUCCUUGGGUGGGAUUAGUGUAAAGAAUCCUUUUCAGUUUUAUUAAUUUUGUCGUCUUAAAAGAAGAAAAUGGCUGUUUAUACGUGUUCCUCCGGCAUUGUUCUUCAAAUAUCCAAGGACUCAAUUUUACACCAUAUUGUGCAAUAAUUGUAUAUAUCAGCCCCUUGUUCAUGUUUUUCUAGGCCUUCUGUCGUGUUUUACUUCAUUCACCAGGAAACCCAAAGGAGAUUGGUAAGUAAAAUAAAAAUCUAUUUUGCCCCUUUAUUGAAUAUUUUAGUUUACAACAUUACGAUUUUCUUUUUUUCUUUUCUUUUUUUCCCCUGUUGCUUAUAAGAUAAGGUGUUAUCCUGUAUUUACUCCUAGUAGAUAUGGUCAAAUAGCUACAACAACUAUUCAAGUUGUGACGACUCUUAAAUGUGCCAUAUGUGCAAACAGAAAAUAUAUUCAACAUUAAUAAGUUGUUGAGUAAAGAUAAUUCAUUGAUGUGUCCCUGCUCGAGUUGCUCCUCCUCCAUUGUGGCGUGAAGAGCCUGAUAAACUUUUUCCACAACUUAAGUCAAUGUGGUUCUCUCAUUGUUGGAGUCAUUCUCUGAGCUUGCACUCUUCAAAACGAAAAGUAACUGUUGUGUAUUUCUGUUUGGGACGGAAAGCUGUUGGUUCACUACUCCAGAACAACUGAUUGUAUGAAACCCG
ensembl:lncRNA